CCCCACAAGUCAUUCAGGCAUCUGAGAGA
rnacentral:piRNA from 1 species